rnacentral:rRNA from 1 species
CCUCCGCUCAGGACAAUCGCGGGGGGCGUGCUUAACACUUGCAUGUCAACGCUGAAGCUUGGUGCUUGCACGGGGGGUUGAGUGCCGAACGGGUGAGUAAUACUUGAGUAACCUGCCCUGGACUCUGGGAUACGCCUGGGAAACGGGGUCUAUUACGGGAUUUGACUUCCUGUCGCUUGGUGGGGGGGUGGAAGGGGUUGGUACGGGUUGGGGAUGGGCUCCACGCCCCUAUCAGCUUGUUGGGGGGGGUAAUGGCCCUACCCAGGGCGACGAGGGGUGCCCGCCCUUGAGAAGGGUGACCGGGCCCCACUGGGAUUGAGCAACGCCCCAGACUCCUUACGGGAAGGCACCAGUGGGGGAAUAUUGCACAAUGGGCGCAAGCUUGAUGAAGGGACGCCGCUUGAGGGAUGACGGCUUUCGGGGUUGUACACCUCUUUCAGCACGGGAAGAAGCGAAAGUGACGGUACGUGCAGAAGAAGCGCCGGCUAACUACGUGCCAGCAGCCGCGGUAAUACGUACGGCGCAAGCGUUGUCCGGAAUUAUUGGGCGUAAAGAGCUCGUAGGCGGUUUGUCGCGUCUGCUGUGAAAGCCCGGGGCUUAACCCCGGGUGUGCAGUGGGUACGGGCAGACUUGAGUGCAGUAGGGGAGACUGGAACUCCUGGUGUAGCGGUGAAAUGCGCAGAUAUCAGGAAGAACACCGAUGGCGAAGGCAGGUCUCUGGGCUGUUACUGACGC